CAGGGCCGCGGGGAUCCCCGGCGCUCGGGGGCGGGGAGCGAGGGAGCCGCCCCCGCGGGCCGCGGCUGCCUUGGGCUUAUCCCGUCGCUCGGAGUGGCGGAGCGGCAGUUCGGGACUGCGGAGCGGAGGAUCGCGAAGCGCCUUUGCCUCCUCCUGUUUGCGGCAAGCGGAGAAGGGCUAGGAAAAAACACCCGCGUUUCCAUUUCUGUUUGUAGCGGUUGUUAGUAGCAAAAAGGCUGUGGAAAAGUAGUGCAUUUCGAUUGAGUCAAUGCAGUGGACUUGCACGCUUCAGCAGACCAUCUGGCUUUGAUAGAAAAUGUGAAGGUACAGCCUUAAUUUUGAACUUACAGUUGUGCAAGUGUUUAAUAUUCCAAUAUUUUUCUCCUUAUGUAGCAACUGAUGCAUUUUUUAGUAGCAUUUAUGAAGAACCUAAUCAGCUGUGUCCUAAAAUAAUUUUCCGGUAACAGAAAAUGAUUUUUUUUUUUUUUAAUCUAUACUUAGGUCUGUCAAAAAGUUUACUUAGCUCUGUCAAAACUUACAGCAUUUUAUAUAUGAUGAUUGUUUAUUUCAAGAUAAUUUAAACCUAAUAUCAAAUAUAGCAGUUUUGAUUUAAAUCUAUUUUCUUUACUUUUGCAUAUUUGAAUGGAUGUUAGACUUCAAUUUAGAUUUAAUGAAAGGGUAAUUCUGUUUUUGUUUGUUUAACUACUAGGUAAGAAAUAAUUCAUGCAUAUAAACUUCACUCCUUAAGUUAGUAGUUGUAGGUUUGGUUUGUGUUUUCUGUUUGUUCUGAAUGAGUACCAAAAUUCCAUUGAUAUUAGUGGGGACCCAGCCCUUCACCUUCAGGUUGAAAACAGGAAUAUCAAGAAGACUCAACUAUAUUUUGGGGCUGUAUAAGAUCACUUUUUCUUAGAUAGAAGAAGAAAACUGUGUUUCAGAUUUUUCAGUUCUUUCUUGGUUUUUUAGUUUUGAGCUCUUAAAAACUUAACAUUUAGUAUUUUAAGUUGGUUUUACAGUUUUUCUGCACAAUAGAUUUUUUUUAUGUUGAAAAUUAAGAAAUGAUUUAAUUGGAAAUAGAAAAAAAAAUACAAGUAUCUAUGUACUACAUUGUUUACCUGAAAAUUUAAAUGUUUCUUCUUUGUAUACAGUUGAAAUUAGUAGCAUUUGAGGUUGGGCUCUUUAGUUUUUUAUUUUUAUUUAAAACUGGUUAUUAAUCUAUACUGAAGUCUGUAUUUACUAUUAAGUUUGAAGUUAUGACAAACUGGCUAGUCUUAAAAUAGAUUUGGUUAUAAUAAAAAGUUGUCUUCUG
rnacentral:lncRNA from 1 species